rnacentral:rRNA from 1 species
UACGGGGGGUGCGAGCGUUGUCCGGAUUCACUGGGCGUAAAGGGCGCGUAGGCGGCUGGCUCAGUCGGGCCUGUAAGUGCGGGGCUCAACCCCGGUGAUGGGCUCGGGACGGGCUGGCUGGGGCGCGGUCGAGGGAGACGGAAUGCCGGGUGUAGUGGUGAAAUGCGUAGAGAUCCGGCGGAACACCGGUGGUGAAGACGGUCUCCUGGGCCGAGGGCCGACGCUGAGGCGCGAGAGCGUGGGGAGCGAACCGG